UACGUAGGGUCCGAGCGUUGUCCGGAAUUAUUGGGCGUAAAGGGCUCGUAGGCGGUCUGUUGCGUCGGGAGUGAAAACUUACAGCUUAACUGUGAGCGUGCUUUCGAUACGGGCAGACUUGAGGCAUUCAGGGGAGAACGGAAUUCCUGGUGUAGCGGUGAAAUGCGCAGAUAUCAGGAGGAACACCGGUGGCGAAGGCGGUUGCCUGGAGCUUUGCUGACGCUGAUGCGCGAAAGCGUGGGGAGCGAUCCGG
rnacentral:rRNA from 1 species